GAUGAACGCUGGCGGCGUGCUUAACACAUGCAAGUCGAACGAAGAUGCCGGAGUGCUUGCACUUUGGCAGACUGAGUGGCGGACGGGUGAGUAACGCGUGGGUAACCUGCCUUAUACAGGGGGAUAACAGUUGGAAACGACUGCUAAUACCGCAUAAGCGCACAGUACCGCAUGGUACAGUGUGAAAAACUCCGGUGGUAUGAGAUGGACCCGCGUCUGAUUAGCUAGUUGGUGGGGUAACGGCCUACCAAGGCGACGAUCAGUAGCCGACCUGAGAGGGUGACCGGCCACAUUGGGACUGAGACACGGCCCAAACUCCUACGGGAGGCAGCAGUGGGGAAUAUUGCACAAUGGGGGAAACCCUGAUGCAGCAACGCCGCGUGAGUGAAGAAGUAAUUCGUUAUGUAAAGCUCUAUCAGCAGGGAAGAUAGUGACGGUACCUGACUAAGAAGCUCCGGCUAAAUACGUG
rnacentral:rRNA from 1 species